rnacentral:rRNA from 1 species
UACGAAGGGGGCUAGCGUUGCUCGGAAUCACUGGGCGUAAAGGGCGCGUAGGCGGUCUUUUAAGUCGGGGGUGAAAGCCCAGGGCUCAACCCUGGAAUUGCCUUCGAUACUGGGAGUCUUGAGUUCGGAAGAGGUUGGUGGAACUGCGAGUGUAGAGGUGAAAUUCGUAGAUAUUCGCAAGAACACCGGUGGCGAAGGCGGCCAACUGGUCCGAUACUGACGCUGAGGCGCGAAAGCGUGGGGAGCAAACAGG